UACAGAGGCCUCAAGCGUUGUUCGGAAUUACUGGGCGUAAAGCGGGUGUAGGUGGCGCUGUAAGUCAGAUGUGAAAGCCCUAGGCUUAACCUAGGAAGUGCGUCUGAUACUGCAGUGCUGGAGUGCGAUAGAGGAAGGUGGAAUUCCUAGUGUAGGGGUGAAAUCCGUAGAUAUUAGGAGGAAUACCAAUGGCGAAGGCAGCCUUCUGGAUCGCAACUGACACUCAGACCCGAAAGCGUGGGGAUCAAACAGG
rnacentral:misc_RNA from 1 species